ACGAGCAGGGGUGGGGAGGAGGAGAGGGUACAGAGGCCAGCGGAUGAGACAGACACGAGGGAGCGUGGGAUGCCUGCCCAAGGCUCUGGCCACGCCCAUGCCCUGCCUGUCCCGCUAGGCACACAGAGGAAAGGCCAUGUGAGGACACAGCAAGAAGGCAGCCGUCUGCAAGCCAAGAAGAGAGUCCUCACUAGGAACCAACUCUGCUGACACCUUGCUGUUGGACUUCCAGCCUCUAUAAAUGUUCACAAGCACACCACUGUUUACACCCAUCUAGAAGGCCCCUCCCAGCUGAUAUCUUUCUGCUCACCUUUCAGGAAGACAGACAAAACUCUCUGCCUUCAGGUGGGGCAAGGUAGGUGGCCAGGCUGAUAGGAGAGGCGGAUGACAAACA